AUAAAACAUAAGAGGUCCAGCCUGCCCAGUGACAAAGUUUAACGGCCGCGGUACCCUAACCGUGCGAAGGUAGCAUAAUCACUUGUUCUUUAAAUAGGGACUCGUAUCAACGGCAUCACGAGGGCUAUACUGUCUCCUUUCUCCAAUCAGUGAAACUGAUCUUCCCGUGAAGAAGCGGGAAUUAUUAUAUAAGACGAGAAGACCCCAUGGAGCUUUAAACUUAAUAUGUACUUCUACGCACACACAUCAUAUAGCCAAAGAAAUUUACGUAUUAGUUUUGGGUUGGGGGGACCGCGGAGAAAAAAGUAUCCUCCGCAACUAAUAGGCCAACGCCUUUAUCCAUGAACUACACUUCUAAGAAUCAAUAAACUGAUGUUUAAUGAUCCAAUUUAAUUGAUCAACGAACCAAGUUACCCUGGGGAUAACAGCGCAAUCUACUUCAAGAGCUCCUAUCGACAAGCAGGUUUACGACCUCGAUGUUGGAUCAGGGUGUCCUAGUGGUGCAGCCGCUACUAAAGGUUCGUUUGUUCAACGAUUAAAACCCUACGUGAUCUGAGUUC
rnacentral:rRNA from 1 species